UACGUAGGGGGCAAGCGUUGUCCGGAUUUAUUGGGCGUAAAGAGCGUGUAGGCGGCCAAGCAGGUCCGCUGUGAAAACUCGAGGCUCAACCUCGAGACGUCGGUGGAAACCGUUUGGCUAGAGUCCGGAAGAGGAGAGUGGAAUUCCCGGUGUAGCGGUGAAAUGCGCAGAUAUCGGGAAGAACACCUGUGGCGAAGGCGGCCCCCUGGGCCGGCCCUGACACUGAGACGCGAAGGCGUGGGGAGCGAACGGG
rnacentral:rRNA from 1 species